CAGAGAGCUCAGAUCUCAAUUGUUGAUAGACUAUCGUUGCUACGGUGACUGCAACCGACCACCUUUGAAACACAACUGAAACGCAACUCACGGCUGCUGCUGACAAGGGCAUUCACAUAUUUAUUCGUAAAACCAUUUUAUUUUUGGUGGAUGAAAACAUUGUGUCAAUAUGCUAUGUCUAUGUUCGCCUUAUUCACCCGGAACGUUCUAAAGACGUUGAGGGGUACACUUCAGGGGUACAUUCGGCAACGCACCAGCUGUCAUGGCGCCUCACUUGCUGUGUUGUGUGCCCAAAUGUUCGUCCUCAAAGAGAAAAAAAAUCCUACCGUGGACAGACUUUCCACCGUUUCCCCAAAGAGCAGGCACUUCGCAGUGGAUGUAUAAAUCACAUCUAGAGGGGUCCUGGUCCAUAUUUCAAGAUCAACGCUGAGACCAAGGUUUGCUCUGAGCACUUUGAGAAGCAGUGUUUUGUAAAGACCACCCGUGUUAUCACAAAGCUUAUAAAGGAUGCUGUGCCAACUUUCGCCUGGACUUCAGAGAGGCCAAAGAGGAGAAUCAUCAUUCGCAGACCGAGAGAUGAUGACCCAUUCCUGAAGUUGGACGCCAGAAUGCAGGAAGGUGCUGUUUAAGAGCCUAGGCGGUGGAAGAAGCACUUGCAGGUAUGCUACCGACCAGGCUCCUCAACAUCAAUCCGAGACGGAAGAUGAAACGGGAUGAAGCAGUUAGAUUGAGGAUAACGUACCUCAACAGUCUUCUUCAGAUUCUCUACAAACACAGUCUGAGUGGUGAUUAGAACAUGCCUGGCAUCCAAGGACAAGGCGGCCGGAAACGUUGAUGACCUCAAUGACACUGGCUAGGUGAAGGACAUCAACAAAAUGGCAUCAGGUCACCAGACAUCAGCUCAUAAUCCACAACAUCAUCAACCAUUUUGCGCCAAAAAUGAAGCCGUUCACAUACCAUGGCAUCCUAAGCAGGCAGCACUACACUACUGUGCAACAGUGAGAGAGAGCGGGCAAGGACAAGUAAAGCGGACCUACACUACAGCAAGACUUUGACACUUCUCCACGUUAGAGGCAACCAUCACCCCCACCGUUGAGCAGCGGCUAUGUGUAACCCCCAAAAGAGGAGAUGAUCCGACGAUGUGUGUGUGGUGUGUGCGUGUGUGUGUGUGUGUGAUGUAUGAUAUUGUAACACUUCAGUCCUUCUUUUAUACUAUACAGUGUAUACAUAUACAUUUGUGGGUUUGUUUAAAAACCAUAGCUGAGGUUAAGAAAUGCAUUAUGACAAAUACAUCUGAUUCAGGUGUACUGUCUUUUAUUUGCCACAAAUAAAUCACAUCCUGGAAACCUG